rnacentral:misc_RNA from 1 species
CCUCCUUUCUAAGGAAAUCGAAAAAUAUCAAAACAAUUAUUUUCGAUUUAAAAAAAACCGGUAAUGUGACCGUCCUCAUUUCUCUUCUUUUAAUGUCUCUGAGUAAAAAUAAUGUGAGGGGCCGGUAGCUCAGGUGGUUAGAGCGCACCCCUGAUAAGGGUGAGGUCGGAAGUUCGAGUCUUCCUCGGCCCACCAAAAAUUGAGGGGGAUUAGCUCAGCUGGGAGAGCGCCUGAUUUGCAUUCAGGAGGUCAGCGGUUCGAUCCCGCUAUCCUCCACCAACGCAUUGAGACAUUUAGCUUUUUUAAAUUGUGAAUAUUAUUAAUAUCAAUAUCUAUAUCCGAUUGUUUUCAGAUAUUUUUUUGAAAACAAUCAAAACAAAAAUUUGAAUUUUACACAGAAAGUUUUUUUCUGUGCAUAAAUCAAGCGUUUAAGGGCGAUUGGCGGAUGCCUUGGCACUGUAAGACGAUGAAGGACGUGGUAUACUGCGA